CCCAAACCGCAUGACGUACCCGGAAGUUAAGCCACGUCCCCAAGACCAACUCAUGCUGCUCAACGACGAGGUUGAAAACAACAUCAUAAUGGCCCACUUGGAGCAAGUUUCCAAACAGCCUGAGAUGCACCCCAAGCCCCCUGGCUUGGUUUUGCAGUACGGCACGGCUGGUUUCAGGACCAACGCCAGCCAUCUGGAUCACGUCAUGUUCCGUAUGGGCCUGCUGGCAGUUCUGCGUGCCAAACAAACCAAAGCCGCCAUCGGAGUCAUGGUUACUGCGUCCCACAACCCAGAGGAGGACAACGGGGUGAAGCUGAUUGACCCCAUGGGCGAGAUGGUGACGCUCGCUUGGGAGGGCUACGCCACCCGGCUGGCCAAUGCGGAGCAGCAGGAGUUGCUUAUAGUGCUGGAGGACAUCAUAGAGAAAGAAGACAUUGACAUGAACCAGGGGGCCUUAGUGUUUGUGGGCAAAGACACCAGGAGCAGCAGUGAAAGGCUGUCACAAGCAGUCCUGGAUGGCGUGUCGUCAUUGGGAGGACGCAGCAAAGAUUAUGGCUUGGUGACCACCCCGCAGCUUCACUACAUGGUUUGCUGUUACAACACGCACGGGCAAUACGGCGAGGCCACGGUGGAAGGAUACUACAGGAAACUCUGUCAGGCGUUUAUCGAGCUCACCAAAAAUACACCCAACCGUACUGACGACCAGAAGCACCUGACGGUGGACGGCGCCAAUGGCAUCGGCGCGCUGAAGCUGCGAGAGAUGGAGCGUCACCUCAAGAGGGAGCUGCAGAUUUCCCUCUUCAACGAAGGUCACGGAAAGCUCAACCACCAGUGCGGGGCCGACUUUGUCAAAGUGCAGCAAAAGCCACCCACAGGCGUCAAGGUCCAAAGCGGCGAGCGCUGCUGCUCAUUUGACGGCGACGCCGACCGCAUCGUUUAUUACUACACCGACAGCGAGGACCACUUCCACCUCCUGGAUGGAGACAAGAUGGCAACGCUCAUUACCACGUUCCUCAAAGAGCUCCUCAUGCAGGCUCGCUUAAAUUUAAAGAUAGCGGUGGUGCAAACGGCCUACGCUAACGGCAGCUCCACUCGCUACCUGGAGGACACAAUGAAGGUGAUUGUGAGGUGCACGAAGACUGGAGUGAAGCACCUCCAUCGCGCGGCGCAGGAGUUUGACACCGGCGUUUACUUUGAGGCUAACGGCCACGGGACGGUGUUGUUCAGCCGCGCGGCCGAGGAGAAGAUCAGACAACUGGCCGAGGACGUCCGCACCGAUGACACCAGGAAGAGAGCGGCCAUUCUUCUGCGGCACAUCAUCAACGUCACCAACCAGACAAUAGGCGACGCCAUUUCUGACAUGCUGCUGAUCGAGGCGAUCUUGGCCUUGAAGGGAAUGACGGUGCAGCAGUGGGACGCCAUCUACACUGACGUGCCCAACCGGCAACUGAAAGUCAAGGUGUCAGACCGCCGGCUGAUCGACACGACCGACGCCGAGAGACGUGCGGUGAGCCCGGCGGGCCUGCAGGACGCCAUCGACACCUUGGUGGCAAAGUAUCGACACGCUCGUGCCUUCGUGAGGCCGUCCGGCACGGAGGACGUGGUCCGAGUUUACGCUGAAGCGGACACUCAGGAGAGCGCUGACUCCUUGGCACAUGAAGUAAGCCUUGCAGUGUAUCGCCUCGCUGGCGGGGUGGGAGAUGAACCAAAACCUUUGCACUAGUAAACUAUGCAGUCGUAAACAGAAACUUGAACUGGUGUUGCCGCGAUACCGAUGCAGUACCUCGAGACGGAAACGAUACGGUGACGAAAAUGUGAAAAAAAAAUGUAAAACACAGUAGAAUAAUAGCCGAUAGCUGAAAGACUUCAAAUUGUUGUUCUAUUUCGGAACCAGAAGGCCGGCAGGUAUGCUGGAGCCUAUUUUCAUUUGUAUUAAUUCAGAAAAUCAUAAGGAUUCGGUUGAUGGAAAAAAUGGAGAUUGAACUUUUUUUUUUAAACGCUACUGAAAAUAUAAUAUAUCCAAUACAGGGGUAUGUUUUUGGGUGUGGGGGUGGAAGGUGCUAUUGAUGCUCUGAUGAUUCAUAAUACAGAGAAAAAAAAAUACUAUCUGCUCCCUAAUUCUGAGCUACAGACAAAACAGAGGUGAAAAAUGAAUCAACUAUUUGAUGAUUAAAUGAAUCAUGAUUUUUGAAAAUCCAUGAAUCGUUUUCGGUACCAUUUUCACUUUAAUAUUAAAUGCUGCUUCUCACUCGUAUAUUUUCCUCAAUAUCUACUCCUCAAUGAAGGCAGACUUUUCUUUGUAUUGAACAUUUGCGUUUACAACAAUAAUCAACAUUUUUGCUGAUUUUCUGUCAUGUUAUGGACCAGACCAGUAACUGUCUCAUAAUAAUUCAUUUGGUUCUGCACUUUCUGCGCUGUCGAUUUGAAAUGUCUUGUUUUUUGAAGGAUGGUAAUUCAAACAUGCUUUUUUUUUUUUUUUUAAAUACGGUUCAACAACAAACUAAGUGAAGGAAUAAUUAACGAUGACACUAUUUAGUUGCAAGCCUUGCAAAAUCUCUUCAUUUAAUCACGAUAAUCAUAUAAUCCUGCAUCGAUUGACUGAGCGCUUUUCUGUAUCACACUCAAUGUGCAGUACUUCACUAUACAAACAGUGCCUCAUUGAACGGAAAUGAUCAGGAACAAGAAUGCUUUUAGUAAAAUAAUUCACACACAUGAAGUGAAGUGUUUGAAAUGUGUUGUGACCAGGUCCGUCUUUUCAGAUUAAAAACGCACAUGUUUACACCAGGCAGUUCUUGAAAUCACCUUGGAUCAUUGCUGCGCAAAGAAAUUAUGGGAUGAAUAGCAAAUUGUCAAACCUCAUUCUAUGUACUUGAUUUCUUUUUUUUAUGCCAUCUUUAUUCACAUUUGGCCUUGUGUGGGGAAAAAGUAAUUUUUUUCCCUCAUAUUUCAUUUUGUCUUGAAGUAUGACUAUUACUGUAAAAACAUUUUUUAAGACAGUACUUUUUAAAUUUCAUAUUGUUACUCAUUGGUUUGAUUUGGAAAACCUGGCGACAGUCCUUUUGUCAAUGUAUUUGGUUGAUUUGUGUCUUCUUAAAGCUGGUCAUAAAGGAAAUCGCAAACUUCAAGGCGCCAAGUCAAUUUUUUGUGAGGUCGGUUAUAGGAGGAGAAAACAAAAACAAAAACAAACUUAUUACAUGGACGAACCUUUGUGCUUGUAGAUUGUAGGAGCCACAUGAUACCAUCUUCUGUUCGUGUGAGCAUUGUGUCAUCUCAUGGACUGCAUGAAUACGCACUACGGAAUACCGUGUGAGCAUUGAUUCCAUAUUCCCAAUGUCCGAGUACGCUCUUUUCCUCAAUCAGUAAGACAAUUCAGCGCACUAGUAUCUUAUUUGCAACAUUUUCCCCUCCCUCACUGCUAGUGUCAUUUUUUACCUACGAGUACGACCUUAAGAUCAACGAUAUGGAAUAAAUCCUCAAAACGGUUUCCCGUAAACGCGGACGUGUGGCGUGUACAAGAUAACGUAUUAUCGUGUAAGAUUGUGAAUGUGUGUAGAGAUAAUGGAUUAAAUCUGUGAUAUUUU